rnacentral:lncRNA from 1 species
GUGUUGUUACUUCCAGAGGUAAAACCCAAGCUUAAAGUCUCGCUGUGCCAGGAAUGUUGAAAAGCACAGUUUAAAGCAGUGGUGCUGCAGGAGCCUGGACUGUCUGUGGACAUAAGGCAGACAAGGCUCUCAGGUACAGGUAAUCUUCUUUGUUAGGUACAGCUGGAACAGUUUUGGGCACACAGACCCACACAGCAAAGGUUUGUGUGCCUGAAAAUGGGAUUAUUUCUUCCAGCCGUUAUAGCUCAUCUAAUUAAGGUUUGUGGGCAGAGUUCCCUUCUUGCUCUGGCAAACAGAAAGAGCAAAUAAUACAUUUUUAAACCAUUAGGAAAUACUUAGCUGGACAAUCCAUAUUUCUGGCCUACAGAAUUUUGCUAGGUGUUUGACUAUGGAGCCCCAUGCAGAAAUCACCUCCCUGGUCUUGCUUCCAGAUGGGAAUUUAUCAGCCUGUGGCAGGGAAUCCUGGGCCAUUGGCUCUUUGUUCUCAUCACUAAAUAUCCCCAUCUCAGCGUGCCUGGUCUCAGCUCCAAACAUUGCCUCUCCCCCAUCCCACUGACAAGGAUCAGUGCAAUGCCAUCUUCAGCUGGGGAGAUGAGUCUAUGAAAACUUACCACAAAAUGUGUGUGCUGCUUUUUGGGGGGGAGGAAAUAGCUUUCUGAAACCUUACUUACCUGCUUUCGAAGUUUUCCUAUAUAUUUCUUGUCAUUUUUAUCAAAUGGCAUAAACUUAACAUGGCUUCACAAACACCAGAUCUGAACUUAGAGCUGAUCUUGAUUAAAAACAGUACAAGUGCUUAGGAAGAGGGAACUAUUUCUAAUGGCUUUAUAGUAGAUUAAUUCAGGAUUUUUGCAAAGACUUGAAGGACAGGCUGCUGACUCCACCAAGCAGGAGAUUUGGAAGUGUUUUUCUGUGAGAUGGCAGCUUGUGUGUGGGACAAAGGGAUACUUGGCACAUGGAAACCUAGUAUUGGAUCCAUCUCUAGUGAUCUCAGAGCUGGAAAGGAGCAAGCAGAGAGUACAAGUUCACAGGGACUGCCCAAGUUGGCACACAAAAUUGCCAAGGUAGGGGUGGAGCUGUCACUCACAGCAGCCAAUUGCCCUCCAAGCUGGUGAGUGGGAUUGAGGCGGGAUGGACCUUCAGAGGCAAUUCCUCUCUGUUGUACCUGGUGGGGUAGGUGAGUCUCCUGAAUGUGCACAGAACUCAGCUCUGGGGGGCUCUUUGCAGUCCCUUUUUCUCCGUGUCUAGAUCACCAGGAAAAGCGUGUUUGUGUUCCACUGAUAACCUGAGAAAUCAACAACUCUUUAUCUGAGCCUAAAAAAGUAAAGGUUAAAUAAAAGCAUUGGAGGGGGAGAGUGUGUUUGGGAU